CUUUCAUGACCCUGCCUCACCCAACUCAUCCUGAUCCCAGUCUUGGCAGGAACAAGAGAGGCAGAGCCAAACCAUGCAGGUCCAUUUAAAGUUUAUGCUGAGAUAUGGUGCACGUCACAUACACUCACAUUCCUUUGGCCAAAACAGGUUGCAUGAUCAAGCCCAAAGGGAAUAGGAUAAAGAAGUAUAUUCUGCCUACUGGAAAGGAUGGCAAAGGUACUCCAUUACAACAUUAAGAGGGGAAAUCUUUGCCAUGUGUGCAGUCUUGGAGGGAAAACGCUUAGUCUCUCACCAUUGAGCAUCAUAUUAACUGAAUUCUUAUAAAUCAAGACGAGGUAGUGGGCAUGGUCCUGAGAAGAAAACAAUCAAAUAGAUGGUCAGUAUCCUUGGCAUCUGAUUCUGUGUUGAUCAUGAAACAAAAAUGUUCAAUAUGCACUUGCUACAAAGCUUACGACUCAGUUAAGGUAUAAAUUCAACAAAUGA